rnacentral:rRNA from 1 species
AACUUUUAGCGAUGGAUGUCUAGGUUCUCGCAACGAUGAAGAACGCAGCGAAAUGCGAU